UACGUAGGCAGCGAGCGUUGUUCGGAGUUACUGGGCGUAAAGCGUGCGUAGGCGGUGUCUUAAGUUGUUGUGAAAUCUCCCGGCUUAACCGGGAGGUGCGGCGAAUACUGAGAUGCUGGAGUGCCGGAGAGGUAAGCGGAAUUCCUGGUGUAGCGGUGAAAUGCGUAGAUAUCAGGAGGAACACCUGCGGUGUAGACGGCUUACGUGGACGGUAACUGACGCUGAGGCACGAAAGCGUGGGUAGCAAACAGG
rnacentral:rRNA from 1 species